AACGGGGGGGGCAGGUGUUACUCCUAAGGACUGGGCGUAAAGGGCGCGUAGGUUGUUUUUCUAGUUUAAGGUUAAAAGCCAAGGCUCAACCUGGGCUUGCCUUUUAAACUAGAAAAACUAGAGUUUAGUGUAGGUAGCCCGAACUGCCGAUUGAAGGGUAAAAUCUAGUGACACCGGCGGCACGCUCGAAAGCGGAAGCAGGCUGUCACCAUUAACUGACACUGAGGCGCUAAAGCGUGGGGAGCAAACAGG
rnacentral:rRNA from 1 species